GCCAGGAUGGUCGAGCGGUCCAAGGCGCUGCGUUGAGGUCGCAGUCCACUCUGCGGGCGUGGGUUCGAAUCCCGCUUCUGACA
rnacentral:tRNA from 1 species